UCUCGGGUUCCAAAACGAAAA
rnacentral:piRNA from 1 species